AUGACUAAUUUGAUUAUUUAAGCAACUAAAAAUAAAAAACUGUUUCGAAUAUUGGCUCACGUUCAAACGCCAAAGCGCGGUACGCAUGCUUCCUGAAUUAUCCCCGCCGGUACCCGAACCCCCGCUCUUAUUUGUUACUACACCUGUUUGAUUUUAAUACAUCAGAUCAAAUCAAACUUUAUAGUAACAUUAGUAAACAUUAGUAACUAGUACCUAUUGUCCGAUCAAUGGGUAAAUGGAAUUUAAAAAAGUUACGCUUCGCGUAUUAAUUACUCAAGUACGUAAGGAAUUGUUCAACAGUGGCACUGGUAACUAAAUAGCACACGAGCACACCGGUUUUUGUUUGAACACUUUUUUAACCUAAAAAAGUAGCUAUUGUGAUAAAUUCAUACUAAUAUUUAGCAAAGUGCACUUUUACAGUCUCUUAUGAGAUCUGUUGGAGUAUUAAUAUUACAAGAUUUAAAAAACAGUAGUACAUUUCAUUGGAAUUGUGAAUAAUUAUACGAUUACUUGCAAUAAAUAUGCAUAGAAGAAUCUUGCUUUUGCAAAGUACCCUGCCUAGCGAUUGGAUAGAGAAGAAAACUCUUGACAGGGCAGACAGAUUACCUUUGAUAGAAAAUUUUACAGACAGUGUUUCAAUUAGAGAAGGCAAGCUACUACGUGAUUGGGAUAGAGAAGACGAUGCAAGAUUAGCAAAGAGAAUGCUCAUUGAGGUAUAUUGCUGUAGACUACAAAAAGCUCAACCAUUAGGCCAUACAUUGUGGCCAGCAAUGGCGUGCACAAUGCCUGUUAGGAUGGAUACCAUAUCACAAUCCAAAUAACAAAAAUUCUCUUAGACAGCAACCCUAAUAGAAGUCUGUGGUAGCUAUGUGCUUGAGAGUUGUCUAAUGACAAUCGAGUUGAACGCAGUGGCCAAAUACGAGUAGUCCGCUGAGCAGCUGCAAACUACGAGGAUUUUUGCCUAGUAGAAAAGAAGCAGUGCAAUUUUGUCAACACGAUGACCAGCCUUGGCAAACCACGAAACCCCCGGUACGGAGACUGCAAGUCGUUAUCUACACUUUGAGCAGAUGAUGACUGCAUCGACGUUUAAUCCGGAAUGAGUUUUGGUUACUCGUCGUGAAGGAGCCAUUGCAGCAUGUGAACAGUUGACAAUUUGGAAAUUCGAAGAAGCAUUUCAAUGACAACAACUGCAUCAUGAUGCUAUGAUUCCUUGACGUACAAAGUCUUUUUUUUCUCAACAAUCAACUGCGACUUCUCAUCGUCGAAUGAAAACUAGCUCGGUUUGUGGCUGUCAUGAUACUUGCAUGAUUUGCAAUUGCAUACUGAACAUGAUUGAAUUACUAGAAUGACAUCGGAGUCUUAUGAAUUUACAUGAAGAUUCAAUUAUAGAAUAUGCCUCGUGAAUCAGUAAAAACUCACGUGGAAAUUUUCAACGUAUUGAAACAAUUCUCAAUAUUCGACAAGGAAGGUAAUUUAAGAAAAGAGAGGUACGUUGAUGAGCAUGGAAACCGACCUUGGAAUAAAGCCAGUGAACUAUUGUCGCCUAUGACUGUCCACAAUAUUUAUAUGACCGUGAUCAAGCACAAAAAAUCACUAAAACUUGAUCUCCAGCGUUAUCAGUGUCCGACACUUGUACGCGAACCUGUACAGGCAGAAGAGCGUCAAUCUGAUACUUCUGAAGGAAAUGAUU